rnacentral:rRNA from 1 species
GGCUGAGAGAUCAGCUGUUCCCUUCGGGGACAGAAUGACAGGUGGUGCAUGGUUGUCGUCAGCUCGUGUCGUGAGAUGUUGGGUUAAGUCCCGCAACGAGCGCAACCCUUAUGAUCAGUUGCCAGCAUUCAGUUGGGCACUCUGGUCAGACUGCCGGUGACAAACCGGAGGAAGGCGGGGAUGACGUCAAAUCAUCAUGCCCCUUAUGACCUGGGCUACACACGUGCUACAAUGGGUGGUACAACGAGCAGCGAGACCGCGAGGUCAAGCGAAUCUCUAAAAACCAUCCUCAGUUCGGAUUGCAGGCUGCAACUCGCCUGCAUGAAGCUGGAAUCGCUAGUAAUCGCGGAUCAACCCGCCGCGGUGAAUACGUUCCCGGGUCUUGUACACACCGGAAUCGAAAUUCCCGC